GACGAACGCUGGCGGCGUGCCUAAUACAUGCAAGUGGGACGCAAGGAAACACACUGUGCUUGCACACCGUGUUUUCUUGAGUCGCGAACGGGUGAGUAACGCGUAGGUAACCUGCCUAUUAGCGGGGGAUAACUAUUGGUAACGAUAGCUAAUACCGCAUAAUAUUAAUUAUUGCAUGAUAAUUGAUUGAAAGAUGCAAGCGCAUCACUAGUAGAUGGACCUGCGUUGUAUUAGCUAGUUGGUAAGGUAAGAGCUUACCAAGGCGACGAUACAUAGCCGACCUGAGAGGGUGAUCGGCCACACUGGGACUGAGACACGGCCCAGACUCCUACGGGAGGCAGCAGUAGGGAAUCUUCGGCAAUGGACGAAAGUCUGACCGAGCAACGCCGCGUGAGUGAAGAAGGUUUUCGGAUCGGAAAGCUCUGUUGUAAGUCAAGAACGUGUGUGAGAGUGGAAAGUUCACACAGUGACGGUAGCUUACCAGAAAGGGACGGCUAACUACGUG
rnacentral:rRNA from 1 species